AGAGUUUGAUCAUGGCUCAGAUUGAACGCUGGCGGCAGGCCUAACACAUGCAAGUCGAACGGUAACAGGAAGCAGCUUGCUGCUUCGCUGACGAGUGGCGGACGGGUGAGUAAUGUCUGGGAAGCUGCCUGAUGGAGGGGGAUAACUACUGGAAACGGUAGCUAAUACCGCAUAAUGUCGCAAGACCAAAGAGGGGGACCUUCGGGCCUCUUGCCAUCGGAUGUGCCCAGAUGGGAUUAGCUUGUUGGUGGGGUAACGGCUCACCAAGGCGACGAUCCCUAGCUGGUCUGAGAGGAUGACCAGCCACACUGGAACUGAGACACGGUCCAGACUCCUACGGGAGGCAGCAGUGGGGAAUAUUGCACAACGGGCGCAAGCCUGAUGCAGCCAUGCCGCGUGUAUGAAGAAGGCCUUCGGGUUGUAAAGUACUUUCAGCGGGGAGGAAGGGAGUAAAGUUAAUACCUUUGCUCAUUGACGUUACCCGCAGAAGAAGCACCGGCUAACUCCGUGCCAGCAGCCGCGGUAAUACGGAGGGUGCAAGCGUUAAUCGGAAUUACUGGGCGUAAAGCGCACGCAGGCGGUUUGUUAAGUCAGAUGUGAAAUCCCCGGGCUCAACCUGGGAACUGCAUCUGAUACUGGCAAGCUUGAGUCUCGUAGAGGGGGGUAGAAUUCCAGGUGUAGCGGUGAAAUGCGUAGAGAUCUGGAGGAAUACCGGUGGCGAAGGCGGCCCCCUGGACGAAGACUGACGCUCAGGUGCGAAAGCGUGGGGAGCAAACAGGAUUAGAUACCCUGGUAGUCCACGCCGUAAACGAUGUCGACUUGGAGGUUGUGCCCUUGAGGCGUGGCUUCCGGAGCUAACGCGUUAAGUCGACCGCCUGGGGAGUACGGCCGCAAGGUUAAAACUCAAAUGAAUUGACGGGGGCCCGCACAAGCGGUGGAGCAUGUGGUUUAAUUCGAUGCAACGCGAAGAACCUUACCUGGUCUUGACAUCCACGGAAGUUUUCAGAGAUGAGAAUGUGCCUUCGGGAACCGUGAGACAGGUGCUGCAUGGCUGUCGUCAGCUCGUGUUGUGAAAUGUUGGGUUAAGUCCCGCAACGAGCGCAACCCUUAUCCUUUGUUGCCAGCGGUCCGGCCGGGAACUCAAAGGAGACUGCCAGUGAUAAACUGGAGGAAGGUGGGGAUGACGUCAAGUCAUCAUGGCCCUUACGACCAGGGCUACACACGUGCUACAAUGGCGCAUACAAAGAGAAGCGACCUCGCGAGAGCAAGCGGACCUCAUAAAGUGCGUCGUAGUCCGGAUUGGAGUCUGCAACUCGACUCCAUGAAGUCGGAAUCGCUAGUAAUCGUGGAUCAGAAUGCCACGGUGAAUACGUUCCCGGGCCUUGUACACACCGCCCGUCACACCAUGGGAGUGGGUUGCAAAAGAAGUAGGUAGCUUAACCUUCGGGAGGGCGCUUACCACUUUGUGAUUCAUGACUGGGGUGAAGUCGUAACAAGGUA
rnacentral:rRNA from 1 species